UACAGAGACUGCAAGCGUUAUUCGGAUUCACUGGGCGUAAAGGGUGCGCAGGCGGCCGAGUGUGUUAGGCGUGAAAGCCCGGGGCUUAACCCCGGAAUUGCACCUAAAACUACUUGGCUAGAGCAUUGGAGAGGGUAGCGGAAUUCACGGUGUAGCAGUGAAAUGCGUAGAUAUCGUGAGGAACACCAGAGGCGAAGGCGGCUACCUGGACAAUUGCUGACGCUCAGGCACGAAAGCGUGGGGAGCAAAAGGG
rnacentral:rRNA from 1 species